AUUGAACGCUGGCGGCAGGCCUAACACAUGCAAGUCGAACGAGUGGCGGACGGGUGAGUAAUGUCUGGGAAACCGCCCGAUGGAGGGGGAUAACUACUGGAAACGGUAGCUAAUACCGCAUACCAUCGGAUGUGCCCAGAUGGGAUUAGCUAGUAGGUGGGGUAACGGCUCACCUAGGCGACGAUCCCUAGCUGGUCUGAGAGGAUGACCAGCCAACCUGGAACUGAGCCACGGUCCAGACUCCUACGGGAGGCAGCAGUGGGGAAUAUUGCACAAUGGGCGCAAGCCUGAUGCACCCAUGCCGCGUGUAUGAAGAAGGCCUUCGGGUUGUAAGGUCCUUUCAGCGAGGAGGCGUUACUCGGAGAAGAAGCACCGGCUAACUCCGUGCCAGCAGCCGCGGUAAUUC
rnacentral:rRNA from 1 species